AGUGGCGAACGGGUGAGUAACACGUGAGUAAUCUGCCCCUGACUCUGGGAUAAGCCUGGGAAACUGGGUCUAAUACCGGAUAUGACUCCUCAUCGCAUGGUGGGGGGUGGAAAGCUUUAUUGUGGUUUUGGAUGGACUCGCGGCCUAUCAGCUUGUUGGUGAGGUAAUGGCUCACCAAGGCGACGACGGGUAGCCGGCCUGAGAGGGCGACCGGCCACACUGGGACUGAGACACGGCCCAGACUCCUACGGGAGGCAGCAGUGGGGAAUAUUGCACAAUGGGCGGAAGCCUGAUGCAGCGACGCCGCGUGAGGGAUGACGGCCUUCGGGUUGUAAACCUCUUUCAGCAGGGAAGAAGCGCAAGUGACGGUACCUGCAGAAGAAGCACCGGCCAACUACGUGCCAGCAGCCGCGGUAAUACGUAGGGUGCAAGCGUUGUCCGGAAUUAUUGGGCGUAAAGAGCUCGUAGGCGGUCUGUCGCGUCGGCUGUGAAAACUCGGGGCUCAACCCCGAGCCUGCAGUCGAUACGGGCAGACUAGAGGUAUGCAGGGGAGAACGGAAUUCCUGGUGUAGCGGUGGAAUGCGCGGAUAUCAGGAGGAACACCGGUGGCGAAGGCGGUUCUCUGGGCAUUACCUGACGCUGAGGAGCGAAAGUGUGGGGAGCGAACAGGAUUAGAUACCCUGGUAGUCCACACCGUAACGUUUGGCGCUAGGUGUGGGACUCAUUUCACGAGUUCCGUGCCGCAGCUAACGCAUUAAGCGCUCCCGCCUGGGGA
rnacentral:rRNA from 1 species